UUUUUUUUUUUUUUUUUUUUUUUUUUUUUUUUUUUGGUCGUUAGCCUCCGUGCUUGAUAACAAAAAGGGGU
rnacentral:ribozyme from 14 species